GACGAAUGCUGGCGGCGUGCUUAACACAUGCAAGUCGAACGGAAAGGCCCUGCUUUUGUGGGGUGCUCGAGUGGCGAACGGGUGAGUAACACGUGAGUAACCUGCCCUUGACUUUGGGAUAACUUCAGGAAACUGGGGCUAAUACCGGAUAGGAGCUCCUGCUGCAUGGUGGGGGUUGGAAAGUUUCGGCGGUUGGGGAUGGACUCGCGGCUUAUCAGCUUGUUGGUGGGGUAGUGGCUUACCAAGGCUUUGACGGGUAGCCGGCCUGAGAGGGUGACCGGCCACAUUGGGACUGAGAUACGGCCCAGACUCCUACGGGAGGCAGCAGUGGGGAAUAUUGCACAAUGGGCGGAAGCCUGAUGCAGCAACGCCGCGUGCGGGAUGACGGCCUUCGGGUUGUAAACCGCUUUCGCCUGUGACGAAGCGUGAGUGACGGUAAUGGGGAAAGAAGCACCGGCUAACUACGU
rnacentral:rRNA from 1 species